GAAAGAAAACCUUGGGAAGCAUGGUCCUCUAAACACCAAUAUUCUCCGAAGUGAUUACACAGUCUUCUAUCAGGAACUUUAUCCUCUGGGUGGCAAGAGGCCAAAGGAACAUGAGCUUGAACUGACCUUUUGAUAAGUUUGAUUGUGCCAUUUUUCCGCCUUAGAGGAAGAGCAAGCUGGCUUCAAAAAGCAAGUAAUUUGUGAAUCAAGAGACCAGAGAAGGAGCAAAGUGUUAAUUAGAAAGCUACGUAUAAGAUAGACUGAGAGGGAUGAUCAGUCUAUGAGUGAAGACAGCUCAAAGAACUUAAUACGGAAAGGUCAUGGACAGAGGA